rnacentral:lncRNA from 1 species
CUAAAUUUAAACUUAAAGUAUCAAAGUUUUAAUUUACUUUUAAUUUAAAAGUCAAACUUCAUGUAAUUAAAAUUUCUAACUUUUUAAAAUCAAAUUCAUAUUCAAAAUCAAAUUUAAUUUACUUUUUUAAUGUCCAUAGAUUUCUUUUAUAAUUACAACAUUCAAAUUAAAAUUUAUAACCUAAAUUUAAAAUUUAACUUUUUCUUUUUU